CCUCUGUGCUGGAGCCCUCGGGUGCCCAGGGCCCACCACUGCCCUGCUGAGGUCAGCCCACAGCUUGGGUGAGCUGGUUCUGGCCACACUAGGUAAAUGGGGAGUGGGGUGGGCAGGAGGGCUGGUCAACCCAGGAACGAGUCCCCGGGUGGGCUCACGCUUCCUUUCUGCAGUGCCGCUUCUCUGGAGGCCUCUGGUCUGCUGGUGCAGACUGGCCAAGCAGGUUUGUGUUCAGGAUGCACCCCGAGGCUGUGGUGAUGGCCUGAGGGCCAGCUUCUGCUGUCAGCACCAAGGGUGGGGUGCAGGCCCCCCUUCCACCGCCCGCCCCCGCUCUGGGCCCAGCCGCGCUCAGGACAGGUGGGCUCACUCUCUGCCACUCACAGGGAGGCAGACCCCUCCCCCACCCCUCUCCCCUACGGCACUUGGAGUUCACAGUUGCGACUCUUAUCUUCUACAGGAACAGCAAAUCCUCCUAACUUCCGGGUCAGGGAGGCCAGGAGCAGCAGCUGCAGCCCGGGGAGGGGGGGACCGUGUCUGUGGCACCAGGCAGUGCCUAUCCCGGAGGUCCCGGCCUGUGAGGUCACGCUGCUGAGUGCCAAGGGCCCUCCAAAAUCGCUCCAGGUGUCCGCCUUCCUCAGCGGCCAGCAUGGCUGGUUCAAGACCAGAUCCCUUGCUAGGGUCCAUGGGGCCGUACUGGCCCACCUUGCCAGCUUCUUUCUCUUUUUUUAAAAAAACUAUAAAGCAAGGCUAGCUGAGAUGCAAUUUACAGUGAAAUUCACCCUUCUUGGUAUCCAGUUCUGUGUUUUGUACCGCUAUGGAACCACCACUGCAGUCCAGAGAAAAGAUUCUCAGCCCCCCAACCCCAGUUCCCUCUUGCACCCCAGUCCUUGGCAGCAGCCAUGGGAGUUUUCCAGCAUCUCCUUGUCACUCCCCUGGUUGAGUUUGGACUCACUGAUUGAUCCCUCUGUGCCCUGCGGUCCUUGGGCCCUGAUCUCACCAUGUACUGUCCCCGUGCUCAGAGUCCAGCCUUCUUCCCAGGAUGCCCUGAGUUAACUCCUUCACAUCCUUCAGCUCUCACCUCCUGUCAUUUUUCAGGAAAUGUCCUUGCACCCCAGAUUUAGUCCCAUUUUACAAACCAAUGCUGGGCUCUGGAGGGCACUUGGGGGUGGGGUGCGGUUUGUAAUUAAUCACUGUGUGGGAUAAAGGCUGCCUCCCCUCACGUUUAAACCAGACCCCAUGCAGGCAGGAAUGUGUGUUUUGCUCAUCAGUGUAUCCCCUAGAGCAGAGAAGGUGCUCAAAGUUUGUUGAAUUAAUGAAAGGAAAUCCCAAUGACAGGAACGGUGCUCCCCAGCGUCGAAGAUGGAUGGCUGCAGUUCUGGGAACCUUGACCAGGACUGUGACCUGGAGGAGAGAGAAGUCUCAACUACUAAACAGGGCUCCGUCUCCCAGUCCUGGAUCUCUAAUAAGGGAAGGGUGUGUACUGUACUCCCCUAGCAGU
rnacentral:lncRNA from 1 species